UUGAAUUCCAAGCCCAGGGUCAGCU
rnacentral:piRNA from 1 species